GCCCCCGCUGGGGGGCGCGAAGCAGCGCCGCCAUGUUCCCCUGGAGGGACGGUGAGGGCCGGCGGUCUCGGGACGUUUAAAGGGCAAAUUAAAGUUAUCUGGUGGCUGAGGGGAACGCGAUGUCAGAGCAUGUGCCUGCUGUAUUAAUAGCUCGCGGGAGGCACCCGAGGGGACCCAGGAAUACCUCGGGCGGCAAUAACUGUUUGUAGGGGCUGGUGGCCGGCGCUGAGGGUGCUGCAGGUGCAGGCUUUGCAUGCGUGGCCUCGAACCUCUGUGGUGCGUGCGCUGCAGGAGGGAGUCGGGCUGCAGAGCCCCCGGGGAAAAGGUGAUCAUAGAAUCAUGAAAUGGCCUGGGUUGAAAAGGACCACAAUGAUCAUCUAGUUUCACCCCCCUGCUAUAUGCAGGGUCACCAACCAGUAGACCAGGCUGCCCAGAGCCACAUCCAGCCUAGCCUUGAAUGCCUGCAGGGAUGGGGCAUCCACAGCCUCCUUGGGCAAUGUGUUCCAGUGAUGUGGCGGUGUGCACGUGUCUGUGAGCUUUUGGGGGAACUAGAAACGGGUGAGGCCUCUGUGAGACAAGGACAUGGAGCCUCCUUGUGUCUGAUGCAGCGUGAGCCUCCCACCCUUGAGGUCUUCAACAUCCCGACGUGCUCCAGAGGCUGCCUUCCCAUAGAGGAGGCAGCGUGUCCUCCUGCAGCGUGCCCUGGUUUCAACCCAGCAAGGUCAGACCCUCUGCAAGCGCUGCAGUCAGUCACCUCUGCAGGAAGCACGUGCUUAGGAAUCAAGCUCAGGUUGCCUGACUCGCACCCUGUGUGAGAGGUCAGUGAGGGCUGCAGCAAAACCUUGCCUCUCUUCAGUGUAUAGGGAAGCACUUCAGUCUCAAAUGCGGGUUAUGUGGCCUUCUUCAUGUGUUUCCUCUGGCUGCUGUCUGUACGAGCUUGUGGUUUGCUGUGGCAUGGAGUAGUUAUGUGAAAGCCAGUGCAACGAGUUGUAAGUGUAUACCAAGGAAUUUGCUUUAAAACAGUCAUCAUAUGUGGUUCUAGGAUGAUACUGUACUGAGGAAAGCUGAGGUUAAUAAGGUCAGCUUUAAUUCGGUAAGAUAGUAUCAAUAAUGGAAAUAGAAUUCAUCUUAAUGUAGGUGCUAAAAGAUUGGCUGUUCCACGAAGAGACAUUCCCUCCAGGACAGCAAAUCUCUUCUUGCUGACGUCUGUGUUAGCACAAGGCAAUGAGACUGUAAAUUUGAUCCCCAGCCUCUCUUGCUCUCUGCUGCUCUCCAGUCUGUUGAGGUAGAGGUCUUUUCUCAUGAACCUCGGGAACAGCAGCUUUAACCCUGCGCACCUGAGCCACCAUAAGCAAGAUGGAAUCUUUCCCCGGUUCUAAGAAAUGGGAAGAGAGGUCGCCUGAAGAGACCUUUUUCCCAAGCAAGAGCAGAAAGCAGGUGCAAGCUGGAAGAACAGGGGAUCCCUCAAGUUAGACUGAAAGUAAAUAUGCCUUUGACAUCUCAGGGCUUCUGCUGCUGGUUUCACAUGAACCCAUGGGAUGGCAGUGUUUGCAGUGCUGCCCAGCUGGAUGAGGUCUCCUCAGUGCGUGCAGGCAGCUGAAAUUCUUGAUUACUUGUUUUCUUCAUGAACCAUUUUCUUCUAAAACUACUGGUAGCAGAGCUAACCAAGACUCCUGAGAACAGCAUUCUUUUUUCAUCAGAAUGGCCUGAAUCAUUAAAUAUAAGCAAGAAAAUGAAUUCAUUUCUGUAAAAACGUCCUUAGUCCCAGAAUGUGUAUGCAUGAAAGGAAGAGGUCUGCCAGACAGGACUGAGAUGCUUAUGCUGAAGGCUGUAACCACACCGAUGAGAGAAGAGUGGUUGAGAUGAUCUGUAGAUGUCAGAGCUGCUUCUUGCUGCAUUGUGAACAAGAUAUCCUGAGCAAAAGGAUUUAUUUUAAAACCUGUCAGAAACAACCUAGGCAAAGCAAAUAGAGAUGUAAGGGCAGAUAGAGUCUUCAUGGCUGAUCUUGAGUCCCAGAAAUCAUACAUCGUGGGAUGCUUAUUUGUAUUUUAGUGCACGGGGGAAGUAUAGAGGAAGAAUUUUUUAUUGCUGAUCUAUGAACCAGUAUGGAAGCAAGAUGAAAGUAGUCUGAUAUUUCCAUCUGAACUGGAAGGAAAUCCCAUCAAGAAGCAUUUUCUAGUCCUAAUGUAAUGCAGCCUUGCCAGACCUGGCACUUAGGUGGCUCCAAAUCCUUGCACAAAUGCAGAUUUCACAGGGAUGGGAGAAUCAGUACAUCAUCUGCUGUGACUGCAGUCGAAGCCAACUUGGCAAAGUUGUUUCAGUCUGAUUUCAUUCCACUCGGCCACACUCUGAUCAUCAUCCAUUAGUGUGCACUGAGAGCACAUGGGAACAGACAAACCUUGCAGGAACAAACAACAAGCAUAGCGGUCAGUGGAGAAAUCCUCAGUCCCUGUGCACAUGAAGCUGAUGGAUCACUGACUUGAAGAGCCAGGUGGUAAUACCCCUUGAGGAAGACACUCCCUGGCAACUUGGAAACCUUGACAUCUGGCUAACCUUCAGCUGGUGGGUGUCUGGCAUUCUCCAUUCACUGCCUAAUUCUGCCCCUGAGACCAAGAAACACCGGACACCAUGGAUCACAGAGCCACUGGACCCCAUGAUGGUGCCUGUUCCCUUUGCAAAAUUCUGUGACUGCCUUGAAGCUGUGAUUUGGCACCACAAGCAAAAAAUCUGUGUGGAUAUGAUGCUAUAUAUUUAUCAAUGACAACUGUGAUCUGGAGACUAAGGGCUUUCACAAUGCAACAGUCUUUAUUCUGGAGGAGUUCAAGUCACAGAGAACUGGUUCAUAAGCAAAUGUUUAGCUUGAAAUAUGUCAGUGAAGCAUCCUAAAUUGUGAGAGAUCUCCAAUGUGUUGUUUAUAUAAAGUGAUAUUUUUGUAAACUCCAUUAAGUCUUAUGCUGUUUUUGUGCAGUGCAAUCAGACUAUUCUUUGGGGUGGAGCUGUGUACUGAGAGGGGGAAGGGAGACAAUUUUCCCUUUACCAUGUAGGGUAGGCAGGAUAUUUGAAAUAGAGCUGGGCCUUUUUGCCAAGUGAUGGUAUGUCUGGUUUAAUGUAGGUCAAUCCUUUUACUAACUUAGGGCUCAUUUGCUUUCAGUGAGUAUGAAAUUGUGCUUUCUUAGUAUUGUUUUGUCUUUUUUACAUUUGUCUGAGAAAAAGCAACAAGUUGAAGAGAAGGUGAUUAGUCAUCAGGAGUUUCAGAUGGCAAACGAGUGCAGGGUAGAGAGUAGGAAGAGCAAAGGCAAGAAAACCCACGGGUCAAGAUAAAAAUUUUAAUAAGGGAAGGAAAGAGGAAAUAUACAAAGCGGUGUAAAGCAAUCACUCGCCACCUCUCACUGAUGACUAGCCAGUCUCUAGAACAACAGCUACAGUGGCUACCUUGAAAGACGCUGCGCCCUACCUGUUAGUGCUGAGAAUGACAUCACGUGGGACGGGAAAUCUCUUCUGCCUGUCAGCUGUCCUGGCUGUGUCCUUUCCCAGCUUCUUGUUCCUCCAAGCCUGCUUGCUGGACUGGAGCAGGGUGUGAGAUGCCUUUAUUUGAGGAUGCUGCAUAAACAUCAUUAAACAUAUGAUAAAAUGGAAAUAAGAGUUUCCCAGUCUGUAUGCGCAAAUGUUUGGCGUGGAGAUUACUGAUGAAGAGUUUGAGCUGCUACUUGACAGAAUCCCCCUUGAUGAAGAUGGAAAUGUCAGAUACCCCCAGUUCAUGGCCAGGUUUGAUUCCUGAGGGCCGUGUGGAAUCGUCCUAAUCCGGGAAGAGCCACUGCCUCCCUGUGUGAUCUGACACAGUGACAUAUCACUUGACCUCGGUCGCGGCAGCUGUACAGCGAGGUGGAAAAGGCGGCUGACGGACAAGCAGGGGAUGCCUUUCAGCACAGCUUCCUCGGGGUAAACCACCGGCAAACUCACGGCUUGGCUUCUUUCUCACUCACCCACGAGUUUCAGAUCAAAUUCAGGUUCUGCAUAGUUUCGCUUGGAUUUGCCUGUUGGUUGUUCUUUUUAAUACAGUGGAAGCGAGCGUGACGCAGUCACCUACCGCUGGUUCCGUGUGGCACAGGCCGCAUCCAGGAGGCCGGCUGUGGCAGGCUGCCGUUCCCGCUCGGUGCCCGCUCGCUGCCUCGGGACGACGGGCCGCGCUCCCCGCCGUGGCGCCGCCGGGACUGCAGGGGGCGCGGCGGCUCCGCUGCAGCCGCACGGCCAGCCCGGCCCCCUCCCGGCGUCCUCACGUCCCCGUCCGCCGCCCUUAUGUCUUCGUCGUUGCCUCCGUGCGAGCACGCGAGGUGUUGUGCCCCUGACCUGAGGGCGUCUUGAGCCCGCGGCAGUUUUACCAACUGGUAGCAUUUAGAGCCUCGCCUUUAGGCGUUGCAUUAGUUUCUCGGUGAUUGUUAGCCAUUAAGUUACUGCAGCUGGGCAGAUCUUUAAUCAAAGCUAUACUCUCAGUGUUCUGUUUGUUUGUUUUCCUGGCAGAUUCCAAUCAAUACAAACUAUAGGCCAAUGGCAUCCUGGCUUGUAUCAGGAAUGGUGUGGUGAGCAGGACUAGGGAGGUAAUCCUGCCCCUGUACUCGGCAUUGGUGAGGCCUCACCUCGAGUACUGUGUUCAGUUUGGGGCACCUCGGUACACAAAGCACAUGGAGGUGUUGGAGCAGGUCCAGAGAAGGACAGCAACCAAGCUGGUGAAGGGCUUGGAGAAUAUGCCUUAUGAGGAGAGACUGAAGGAACUGGGGCUGUUUAGUCUGGGGAAAAGGAGGCUGAGGGAAGUCCUUACUGCUCUCUUGCAGUACCUGACAGGUGCUUACAGUGAGAACAGGGUUGGUCUCUUCCCACUGGUGACAGGAUGAGGGGAAAUGGCCUCAAGUUGUGCCAGGGUAAGUUUAGGUUGGAUAUCAAGAAACACUUCUAUUAUAGAAGGGGUUGUUAAGCACUGGAAUAGGCUCCCCAGGGAGGUGUUUGAGUCACCAUCCCUGAAUGUGUUUAAGAACUGUUUGGGUGUGGUGCUCAGGGACAUGAUUUAGCAGAGGGUUGUUUGAGUGAGGGUAGUUUGGUUAGGUUGGGGUUGGACUCGAUGAUCUUUAAGGUCUUUUCCAACCCGAGCAAUUCUAUGAGUCUGUGAUUCUAUAUUUUCACAUCCUUAUCCCACAUACAAGUGUAAGACACGUUAUGCCUGUUUUCUCUGGAAGGGGCAGAGUCUCUGUAUUAUGACCUUCUGUUAACUUCUUGAGAGGCCUCUGUUUUGCAAUCCAGCAAAAUAAUUCCCAGCUCUGUGCCUUCUUUUUCUGUAUGUCUUCUCUUCAUAGCAAAUCGAACUGUAUCCUGCAGGACCACUAGGAAGUCUCUGUGCCAAACAGCUUUCUGAUUCACACUUUCAUUCCCUGAGGACACCCAAGUAGGGCUGGGCUGCUGGGCGACAGAAGCUUUCUCUUUACUAUUUUAUCCAUUAACUCAGAUACAGUUGAGAAGAAUGUAUGCUAUAUGGAAGAACACGCAGAAGUUGUGAGCAACCACACGGUCUGAAUGUUAAGGGUUCAUCCAUCUUCCUGCACAAGAAUGCCUUUAUCUGGAAAAGACAAACAUCCCAGGAGUCUGUAAGAAGUAAGAAGUAAGCUGUUGCAGCUUGAAUUUGUGAGAGGACUUCUGUGGAGCCUGAACCACCUCCCUCCAUCUCAAAGGAGACCGAGCCUUCCCUCUUUCUUAAAGCAAGGCACCCUGGCAGCCUGCAUAGUAAGAUUGUAGCUCAGCAAGCUCCUGCUUGCAGCAUGUCCCAGCAGGCUGCAGAAGGUAAGUGAUAGCUUGUAUGCGAUGUGCUGGCGUUUGUAUCAAGCAAAUUCAUCCUUGCUCAUUAGCAUUCAAGGGAGAAAGGAAAGCUGCUCUUAAGCAGACCUUCAGAAUGACCUGUAUUUUUGGGUUGGUCUGAGAAAUUCUCUCCCUGACCUUUUAAUUGGAGGCAGUGUUUUAGAUUUAGUAUUAUUAAAGAUGUUUGCUCUUCAGAAUACCUUCUAUUGUUCUCGUUAGUACCCCUUACUCCCAAGUGGCAUAAAGAACACUGUGUUUUGAGAAGAGGAUCCAGGGAUGGCCAAGACAAGAGAAAUAGGAGCGAAGCUGAAGUAGGUAACAUAGCUUUGCACAUAAACCUGCCUGUCUUGUUUCAAGAUGCAUAGAUUUCUGUUCAUCUUGUGGGGCAGUUCUGUUAUCCCCAGUGUAGCUCCUGAUGAUUGUCCUGAGGAAAGGUAAUUCGUCCUGAUCUGUCCUGCCGAAAUACCUGCAACCCAUUUCUGGAUUUAGGCAGAAAUCUUCCUUACCAGUUGCAAUCAACCUUCAAGUACGUCUCUGCGGAAGGACGUAAAACCCAGCAGGACUCCCUUAUCACAUGGCAUUAACUGAUGUGCUGCUGUCAUUUUCGAUACAUUUGACUUCUUACCUCCAACCCCCAUGCUGAGAUCUCGUGUUCCUUUUUUCCCCAGGGUCAUGUCUUACACAGAGUCCCCACUGUGGCUUUGCUCUGCUGGGUCAAAGGAAACAUGAGAUAACAAUUUUUGCCCUUUCCUAUUAAUGGUUAAAAUUAUAGAAGGGGAAACAAGACGUCUGUAUGGAUUUCGUCUUUAAGACUGAUUUUAUCAUUUCAGGGGAACGUGGAAAGGCAGACCCACUCCAAGGCUUUUGACUUGCCACACCUUUCCGAGAGGAUGACAUCUCAGAGGCUCUGUGUCUGUCCCAGAUUGUGACUGUUUUCUUCUGAAGAGCAAACGUGAGAUUCAAAGAGCGCCUGGCAAAAGCUGCUUCUAGUACUGCAGCAGCAGCAUGGGAAAUAUUUCAUGUAUGUAGAAGAUAGAGCAUCUGUGUAGGCGGUUGUUUUCUGCAACUCUCUGUGAGUUUGGGGAGAAGUUAUUAAGUACUGCUUCUCCUUCUUUCUUUAAAAAAGGACAGAGAGAGAAAGCCUGCAUUUUCUACCAUUUCCCAAGAGGCUUUUUAUCUGUUUAAACCAACUAGGGAUUUUUCACAUAUUGACAUAAGCAUUCAUUUGCUAAUUUGCUGGACAUUAAACUGCACAGCAUUCUUGAAUGAGGCUGGAAUACUUGGGUACUUAGUGCUGCUCAGACCCCGCAUCAUUCCCAGUACACAUAUGGUUUUCCUCCUCUAUCUCCUAGAUAAAAGUCACUGUUUGAUCGCCUUAAGGGAAAGAAUGAGUUAAAUGGACCAAUAUUUUAGCCUUGGCUCUAAAACUGGGCCUUUUCAGAAACUCCUCAGCACCUGCAGCAGCUAGGUCAUUUGCACAUACAUAAAUAAAUAAAUUAACAAUGAAUAAAUAAUUUAAUCCCGCCACACAAUGCCACCUUGCAGAUCUGAUCCUUUGCUCCCAGUGAAUUUGUCCAUUCCUAAUUCUUUUUGAUAAAGUCUUCAGAUACUUGCUGACUGUCAGUCUAAUUUUCUUAUUGUUUUCGCUUGAUUAGUUCUGUAUGACCUAAGGUCGCCCUUAAAAUCCACAUCUCUCGUGAAGACUCCGAAAGGCCUUCUUUUUUUUCAAAGGGAUGGAAAGUGCCUGCCAUUUCUCCGGACAAAAGCCUGGAAGGUUUUCAGUUAUUAGCCUUCUGAAGCAGCCCUUUCGCUCACCCAAGCGCAAAAAAAACUCAUUAGGGGGCACCUUUCUUUCUGCCUUCUUCAUCUGAUGCGUGUGGGGUUUACGUGUUUCAAGACUUUCAGGUCUCGGAUGGAUUUGGGCAGCCUCCCUUUUAACCCUGCCGGACUGUGGUUACGCCCUGGGCAGAGAUUGGCUGUAUCUGUGUGCACUGAACCACCUGGAGAUGCUUCGUCCUUUCAGCAGCUGUUUUACACCCCGCUGGUCUGCUGUUCUGUUGAGCGCUUCUGCCCGACGUACAGCACUGCCAUACCUGUGCCUGCCUCUUAGGAAAAAGAGCAACCCAAAAGUAUACUGACAGGUAUUACAGGAAUGAAUAGUUCUUGCUUACCUACCGUGUUUACUGAGGGUGUAAUUGAUACAGUUGUCCACAAUUACAAUUACAAUUGUAAUUGUAAAGACAAGUAAGACCGAACCAAUAGUGUUUUCUCUUUCUGAAAAGGGCUGCCUGGUCUCUGAUGAGAGAUCUCUGCUUUGCCUGGGAUCUGAGCCUAAAGAGAAGAAAUACAUGGGAGCAGGAGGAAAAUAAACAGGGCCAGAAAGACAGCAGCACCAGUGGAAUUAUUGUGGACAGAUACUUGGUGUCUUGCUCCUGCAACACUUUCUCCUUGUCCUGUCCUGAAGAGCAGCUGCUCUUCCACUCAGGAAGACCUAUCCCUCCUUUGGGUUAAAACCCGUUUUGGAAAGUUCAGGGCUGUAGCUAAGGUCUCAGUUCCAAGCAUGUGGAUGACAGUUUUGUGGCCACUAAUCUGGCUCCUGGCUGUUCUCAGGGCCAGGAGAAAUUCUCUGUCUUAGUUUGGAAGAACACACCGUCGCAACCACUAUUUGGUUUUUGGCCAGUUCCUCUGAAACCUGUGGGAGAUCGAUCAGCCCUUCGUAAAAUCAAGCCAGCCAGGUGCACGAGGCUGGAUCUGUGUGCAAAUCCUUGCAGGUUCUGAACCAUCAACUGCAUUACUCUUUCUGCUGGCAUAAAUUCAGGCCAGCCGUUAGCUUGAGUUUAGUGUAAAAUCGUGUGAAGGAUAUGUGAUGAGGAGAAAUUGUGUCAGCACGAUACCUGGCAGUCUUGUUUAUAACUUUUUGCAUCAGUGUCCUUUACCACCCAAACCAUUUAGGGGUCCUCAAGCUUUCUGAAUAAACCUGACCCGUUAAUUAAAAAGAAGCUUGAAGCUUUAGAUGAAAUUAACUCCUAGGGUCUCAUUCAGAACGCUGUGUACAUUCCGUUGAAGAAAUCCUGAUAAAAAUAAGCUAAAACCAUGCUGGGUGAUGCUGUGCCUGGAGCUCCUCAGUGUCCCACACGGAGAGCAGAGGAUUGACUUCCAUUGAAAUCAAUGGCAAAUUUCUCCUCUGCUAUGCACGUACUUUAAAAUAAGGAUUUUCUGAUCUUGUGUGCAGGAUGUUCAUACAUGGAGUUCCUGAAGCCCUUUGCUUCUUUUUGGCCAUGUGUAAGAAUGGGAGGGGAGUACCAUGGCUAUUGGCAUGCAGGCAUCUGGGAGGUAAACCUGUGCCACAGGAGCUUCUGAUUAUGAUAUUUUGACAACCAGUCUAUGGAAGAAGGUACACUGCCUUUCACUGAGCAGCUGAUGGGUUUGUUUGAAAUAGUGCUUGCCGGAGGGUAAUAGUAAAAACGCAUUCUUUCCCCCCUGAGGUUCUUCCUCCCACCUUCUCCACCUCUUCUAGCAAGACAUAAAACAAGUACAAUAGAAACAUCUGACACGGGAUAAAGAUCCUCUGGGGUACCCCUAAAUGUUCAUCAGCUGUUUCAGUUCAUUAGAUUCUCUUGCUACACCUUCAGUCUGCAAAGCAGAAGCACAAGAGGAGAGACUUUGUGUUUUUUUUCAUGAGCAACGAGUCUUGCAGGUGAGAGGGAGAAAGAUUUUAGUUGGCAAAGUUGCUGAAGACUGAACUGAACUUCUCGUGAUUAAACAUGGAGAAGUAUAGACCCCCGAAAUACCUGAGCAGAUAAGUAAGGUUACUUGGCAGGCAGCAGUGAGGGUGGGAUUCAGCUGCCCUGAUUUUUCCCCUGCCUAUAUAUGUGAAUCUGACCCAUUGAUCCUGCAUUCCCUCUCGAUUCAAAAGAAGGAAAGAGACAUGUUCCAAGGCAAAUCAGCUCAUUUUAAGGGAAAGUCUGAAAUUGGUCUGGUCAAUCACCCACUGGAAAGGCCUGUUUUUUCCCUCCUGACUACAAAAAGAGCUUAGAGUGAUUAAUUCACACUUGCACCUCUACCUUUGAGACAUUUAAUGCUUGGUUAAAGUCACCUGCUCACAAGUUUUAAUACAUCCUUCUAUUAGCAAACCACUGAAGGGUUUUUCCUUCGUGUUAUGACUUUGCCUUAUGAUGAAAUAAGUUUUCCAAGAAUGUGAAUGAAAAAAUCCCAUUGGUCUCAUCCCAUCCUUGUUUGGUUUUUUUUCUGAUCUGGUAAAGAAUUAAACUUGCCAGUGUCCUGUCUGUGUAUCAGUGUACCUGCAGGCAUGCUAUAUUCUUACCUUACAAUAAGGCAGUUCUGAUGAGGUGCUAAAAGGGGCUUUGUUCUCUAGUAAAUAAUUGUCAUUAUCCCCAAAUAACUUCUCAUCUUGUUUUUUUCUUUGCCUGUUUGCAGUUACAGUGACGGGAAGACUCUCUGAAGAGCCCUUAAGAAGCCACAUGUUGGCAGCUGAAUUUCAAUCCAUCCCAAAUCUCCACAGCUUCCUGCUAGAAGAGGAUGAAAUUGACCACAUGCUCUCAAAAUUCAUCUCAGUCUGAAAAGGCAGGUUAACUGCAAAUCCAUUUGGGGAAAAAAUUAUAACAACAACAACAACAACAAAAUUAAAAACUGCUACAAAUUAAUGUAGAAUAUUCCUUUGAGAAGGAUAACAGCCUUUAUGUCCCCCCAGUUGCCUAUCCUUCUAACUACGUCACAUGUAUAUUUCUCCUAUUUAUGUCCCUGGUCUAUUGACUGUGGGUCUGUACUGUACGUUGUUUUGUGGAGAGGUGGUAGAAGCCCUUUCUGAGAGCUUAAAGCAAAGCUGAAAAUAAGGCAGUUACAAACUAUGCGUAACGUAUGUUAUGUGACUGAGAAAACGAGCUGUCUGAAAAGGGGAGGCUAAGGUGCUCUAUGGAGAUUUGAGAAGGUGAAAUAUUCAAGCUGCUUUGCUGCCGGGUGCCUCCUCACAACAGAGCAGUGUUCCUUUGGCCUCACAGAAUUAGUUUAAGUCCUGCACGUGCAUGUGGGAGGGUAGAUUACUGUGCCUAGUUGUGUCAUCUUUUCUUCUUGGAGGAACAGUUCAUGCCUUCAGUACAGCAGGCAGUAGGACCUGCUCUGCAGUUGUUCUGCACCUGACUUCACUUUCACCAUCAGUGUAACUCAGUGUUUAGGACCAAGGUAGGUUACUUAUUUUCCUUACAUCUUUGCAAACACAGGGCUGUGUGUCUCAGUUAGUAAACUGAGCACCAAGAGCCAGUGAAAUAUGGAUCACUUACCUGUUUGGUAAGGUCUCUGCUGAUGCAGCUACAUCAUGCCUCCUCCUCGUGUAGCAGCUCUAGCUUCAGGGGUUUCCAGAAAGCUUUGUCUACUUGCAAGAGCUAAGGAUUUGGUCCAGAAUAUACACAAGUAGGUAAAUAGCAUGUUUGUUUGGUUGCUUUAAUAUACUGACUUUCCUGCAGGCAGUAAUUUGUAACCGACUAUAAGCAUUGGUACCCUUAGGCAACAUUUAAUUGGUUGUCAUGCAUCUUAGCCAUCUAACAGGUUUUUUUGGCUUUCCACAACGAAAAAUACACUUCUGGUCUUGUUCUUUUUCCAAAUACUUUCCCUCCUCCAGACAUCAAAGGGAAUUUACAGAACUUUCAGUAAUAAAACUCCAAUAAAAGGUUGCUUUUUUCCUCUCUCUUUGGUUAAAGAAAUGAGAAGGUAACAUAUGAAUAAAGUAUGUGAUGUAAGAAAA